rnacentral:tRNA from 1 species
UGUAGCUUAGUAGAAGAGUGUAUGCUUGGCAUGCAUGAGUCCCUGGGUUUGAUUCCUAGCA